rnacentral:rRNA from 1 species
UACAGAGGGUGCGAGCGUUGUUCGGAAUUAUUGGGCGUAAAGGGCGCGUAGGCGGUGCGGUAAGUCACCUGUGAAAUCUCCUGGCUCAACUGGGAGCUUGCAGGCGAAACUGCCGUGCUGGAGUGUGGGAGAGGUGCGUGGAAUUCCUGGUGUAGCGGUGAAAUGCGUAGAUAUCAGGAGGAACACCUAUGGCGAAAGCGGCGCACUGGACCACAACUGACGCUGAGGCGCGAAAGCUAGGGGAGCAAACAGG